UAAUACGUAGGCAGCAAGCGUUGUUCGGAGUUACUGGGCGUAAAGAGUACGUAGGCGGUUUGCUAAGUCUGGUGUGAAAUCUCCUGGCUUAACUGGGAGGGUGCGCUAGAUACUGGCAGGCUUGAGUAUGGGAGAGGAGAGUGGAAUUCCUGGUGUAGCGGUGAAAUGCGUAGAUAUCAGGAGGAACGCCGGUGGUGUAGACGGCUCUCUGGACCAUUACUGACGCUGAGGUACGAAAGCGUGGGUAGCAAACAGGAUUAGAUACCCUGGUAGUCCACGCCCUAAACGAUGCGGACUUGGUGUAGGCAGUUCAGUCUGUCUGUGCCGGAGCUAACGCGUUAAGUCCGCCGCCUGGGGAGUACGGUCGCAAGGCUG
rnacentral:rRNA from 1 species